GUUUGGCAACACCAAAAAUCAAAGGCAAGCAAUCACAACUGACGUCCGACAGAUAAUCAGACAUAAAGAAACCAGCAGUGGAAGCCUUGACAAAGCAGAAAAGUAUGGAGAGGAAGGUUCAACAGAAUAAUAAUUUUGUUAUUUGAAAGCCAGAACACAAGACAAAUAGAUUCACAGCAACACAACCAUAUAUAUACAAGAUGCUAGCUCAAGAAUGUGUCCAGCUUACAAACCAGAAUACCAACUACAAGUUCAACUUCGAUGCAUCAUCUUGGGAGGAAGUGACAGACUUGGAAGAUCAUGCUGUUUUUGUUGGUGAUGGCAACUCCUGGUGCUGUCCUGCAAUCACCAUCCCUAGUAGAAGUAAUAGCAUCUACUUCACAGACGACAAUUGGGAUUGGCAAACGUACCCUGGAGAUGCAUAUGGAGGAUGUGAUGUGGGAGUGUUUGACAUGGCAACUAGAGUUAUUCAACCCCUUCCAUUCGGUGAGGACAACCCUUCUUCCUAUUCUCGACCAAUUUGGGUAACACCUACUUUGCAAUAUUAGCUUAUUUUCCAUUUUAUUUGCUGGGUUAGGCUUAGGUCUAGUGUCUAGGCACCGGACCGUUAAGAUGAUAACAUGUGUCCACUUUUGGACACAUGUUACCAUCUGACCGGGUCCAGUGUACUGUUCCUAAACCAAGUCUUUAUUAGCUUAUCUGUUUAUGUACUUUGAUUUCUCUAAUGUUGUUUGGCUUAAUUGAAGAGGUUUUGACUUCUUUGGUGACCAAAUACAAUUUGGCAUUUUGGUUGUAAGCAGGACAAAAUAUUAAACUAAUUUCCAGAAUAUGUAAGGUUCUGUUGCUAUCAA